CCCCCUUCAUCCUAGAAAUUUCUGCUUUCACUCUUCCUCAGCCGUAAAAUCUGGCUCCACAGGCUUCUGCAGCGAUCCGCGCAUGUGAUAAUCGCUUCCCCCGGGCCCGCUUGCAGCAUACAUUCUUAAGCUACUCUGCCCCAAUGAUCUGAAGGACGCGUCCAUUCGUUCCGCCGCUGCCGGUUUGGCCAAAUCGGUCGCCGGCCUCUCCCUUGCCCUGAGCUCCGCCGCCUCCGUCCGCCUUUUAAACCGAACCCACGCUGCCUGAAUAAAGCAUGCCGCCCAAGUCCUCCACUGGUGCGAGUAAAACCUGAACGUGUCCCGGAGCCGCUUGCUGUGCAGCCUCCGGAACUGCGACGCCACAAACCUCAAGUCCUCCGCGACGAGCGCGAAAGCCUCGACGUCGGAGAUGGCUUCGACGGUACGGGUGGAGGAAGGAAGGAGGCCGGUGGGGUGGGGGUCGAGGGCCCACGGGAGGAGCUCCUCGCCGCAGAAGUCGCCGGGGCCGAUGCAGGAGGAGUUGAAGAAGCCGGUGCGGCCGCCGUUGGUGGUGUAGGAAUCCAAGUGGCCUCGGAUUAUGAAAAGCAUCUCGUGGACGAGGUCGCCCUCGCGAACCACGCACGCGCCUUGGGUGCACAGAGCAGGUUUUAACCUUUCGCAAAUGGCAUCAAGCAUUCUCUCCUCCAUCUGAUCAAAUAGGGGUACCUGUUUCCUUUUAAAAUUAAUAUGGUUACAAAAACGAAUUCCAAAAUUGAGGAAUGAUCGAGUUCAAUCAUCUAUAUUGAUCUUGUAUUCCAAUUUGUAGCAAUUCCAGGUCGAAAUAUUCAAUCAACUGAUCUGUUUUUUUGAACAAUUUUUUUUUUUUUUUUCAUUCAUGGUGUCUUGAACUUACGCGGCGAACUAGAUCGAGGCAGAGAUGGCGCUUGAUGUCUCUUCGGAGAUCUACGGGAAGGCCUUCGAGAAUGGCUUCCUCGUCGACUCCCCGAGUUGCGAUCCAUUUGUACUGCUCAUACCUUCGUACACUCUGCUUCAAUUCAUGCGGUAGCUGCCUGUGACUCAUCCAUUGUUCGGUAUCGGUUCGCUGAAUUCUCCAUUCUUCCAGUCGCACGGUUGUGGAUUGGAGGUACCCCUGUUGAUGGAGAAUGUGCAAAUGGAUAUUUGAAUCUUGAAAUAGGGAGGAAGUUGUCUUAAGAUGGGUUAAGAAUAUUUUCAGGAGGACAAAUGGGAGUUGCGGAAUCUUCUAAAGACAAAUUGUGCUUCAGAAACCAUGAGAAUGCUGCUAUCUCACAAGAUGAGGCGUCUAGCUGCCCCUUUAGUUACCUCAGAUUCCUCAAGCCCCACCAAAAACAGUAGAAGUACUUGGUGUAGAACCUGGAGGUUGUAACUCGAAAUUUCAGCGCAUCAGCAUAAAUGCCGAACAAGAAGAAUUUGCCAUUUGGAUCACAGAGACUUUGGAUAUUACUUGAGUUGAACCAGGCAGCUCUGCCAGAUUCAUCCAUAGCACGGCAGUCAAAAAAUGCAUAGUUGCAAUGUGGGUGCUGCAGACUGCAAACUUCUCUCCAACAUUCUUCCUGCCGCUCGAUCGAUAAAAGGUACCAACAGGAACCUAGCACCUUCAUGAAAUGAAUUGACUAAAAGUUAGUAUUUCUGCAUAAUACAUUUGUAAUGAAAAUUGUCUUAACAACCAGCCAAGCUGCAAAAUAUUCUGCAGUGUAGAGUUUCAUCAAACCAUGUGUUGUAAAGAAAAAUAUUGUUUAAACACAAUUCAGUUUGGAAAAAAGAAAAAAUCUCAGUGCCUACAAAA